rnacentral:rRNA from 1 species
UACGGGGGGGGCAAGCGUUGUUCGGAAUUACUGGGCGUAAAGGGCUCGUAGGUGGCCAAUUAAGUCAGACGUGAAAUCCCCAAGCUUAACUUGGGAACUGCGUCUGAUACUGAGUGGCUUGAAUUCGGGAGAGGGAUGCAGAAUUCCAGGUGUAGCGGUGAAAUGCGUAGAUAUCUGGAGGAACACCGGUGGCGAAGGCGGCAUCCUGGACCGGUAUUGACGCUGAGGCGCGAAAGCCAGGGGAGCAAACGGG